CGGGGUGUGGCCCAGUUUGGUCUAAGGCGCUACCUUGGGGUGGUAGAGAUCGCUGGUUCGAAUCCAGUCACCCCGA
rnacentral:tRNA from 1 species